UAGAAUGAUGAAGACCUAUAGGAUACAGCCUCCUACAGGAAGGUAAAUGGUGGUUUCUUCUGUCUUCUCUCUGUUGGUGGAUAGAAUGAUGAAGACCUAUAGGAUACAGCCUCCUACAGGAAGGUAAAUGGUGGUUUCUUCUGUCUUCUCUCUGUUGGUGGAUAGAAUGAUGAAGACCUAUAGGAUACAGCCUCCUACAGGAAGGUAAAUGGUGGUUUCUUCUGUCUUCUCUCUGUUAGUGGAUAGAAUGAUGAAGACCUAUAGGAUACAGCCUCCUACAGGAAGGUAAAUGGUGGUUUCUUCUGUCUUCUCUCUGUUAGUGGAUAGAAUGAUGAAGACCUAUAGGAUACAGCCUCCUACAGGAAGGUAAAUGGUGGUUUCUUCUGUCUUCUCUCUGUUAGUGGAUAGAAUGAUGAAGACCUAUAGGAUACAGCCUCCUACAGGAAGGUAAAUGGUGGUUUCUUCUGUCUUCUCUCUGUUAGUGGAUAGAAUGAUGAAGACCUAUAGGAUACAGCCUCCUACAGGAAGGUAAAUGGUGGUUUCUUCUGUCUUCUCUCUGUUGGUGGAUAGAAUGAUGAAGACCUAUAGGAUACAGCCUCCUACAGGAAGGUAAAUGGUGGUUUCUACCCUCUUCUCUCUGUUAGUGGAUAGAAUGAUGAAGACCUAUAGGAUACAGCCUCCUACAGGAAGGUAAAUGGUGGUUUCUUCUGUCUUCUCUCUGUUGGUGGAUAGAAUGAUGAAGACCUAUAGGAUACAGCCUCCUACAGGAAGGUAAAUGGUGGUUUCUACCCUCUUCUCUCUGUUAGUGGAUAGAAUGAUGAAGACCUAUAGGAUACAGCCUCCUACAGGAAGGUAAAUGGUGGUUUCUACCCUCUUCUCUCUGGUAGUGGAUAGAAUGAUGUAGGUCAAGGGACUGCCUCUGAUCUGGUGGACUCUCUAAACAGAGAACAUCCCUGGUCAUCCCUACUGCCUCUGAUCUGGUGGACUCACUAAACAGAGAACAUCCCUGGUCAUCCCUACUGCCUCUGAUCUGGCGGACUCUCUAAACAGAGAACAUCCCUGGUCAUCCCUACUGCCUCUG